rnacentral:rRNA from 1 species
CAGUAGUCACGAGUUUGAUCUGGCUCAGGACGAACGCUGACGGCGUGCCUAACACAUGCAAGUCAAGGGGCCUUCGGGUCACUGGCGCACGGGUGAGUAACGCGUAGAUUAUCUACCCAUAUCUCUGACAUAACUGCUGGAAACGGUAGCUAAUAUCAGAUGAGGCCUACGGGUCAAAGUUUUAAUGGAUAUGGAUGAGUCUGCGUCUGAUUAGCUAGUUGGUAGUGUAAUGGACUACCAAGGCUACGAUCAGUAACUGGUCUGAGAGGACGAUCAGUCACACUGGAACUGAGACACGGUCCAGACUCCUACGGGAGGCAGCAGUGGGGAAUCUUGGACAAUGGGGGAAACCCUAGAUCCAGCCAUGCCGCGUGAGUGAUGAAGGCCCUAGGGUCGUAAAACUCUUUCGCUGGGGAAGAUAAUGACGGUACCCAGUAAAGAAACCCCGGCUAACUCCGUG